AGAGUUUGAUCCUGGCUCAGAUUGAACGCUGGCGGCAUGCCUAACACAUGCAAGUCGAACGGAAACGAUGGGAGCUUGCUCCCAGGCGUCGAGUGGCGGACGGGUGAGUAAUACUUAGGAAUCUACCCAGUAGCGGGGGACAACUCGAGGAAACUCGAGCUAAUACCGCAUACGCCCUACGGGGGAAAGCAGGGGAUCUUCGGACCUUGCACUAUUGGAUGAGCCUAAGUCGGAUUAGCUUGUUGGUGAGGUAAAGGCUCACCAAGGCGACGAUCCGUAGCUGGUCUGAGAGGACGAUCAGCCACACUGGGACUGAGACACGGCCCAGACUCCUACGGGAGGCAGCAGUGGGGAAUAUUGGACAAUGGGGGCAACCCUGAUCCAGCAAUGCCGCGUGUGUGAAGAAGGCCUGCGGGUUGUAAAGCACUUUCAGUAGAGAAGAAAAGCCCACGGCUAAUACCCGUGAGUCUUGACGUUACCUACAGAAGAAGCUCCGGCUAACUCCGUGCCAGCAGCCGCGGUAAUACGGAGGGAGCGAGCGUUAAUCGGAAUUACUGGGCGUAAAGCGCGCGUAGGCGGCUUUGUAAGUCGGAUGUGAAAGCCCUGGGCUCAACCUGGGAAUGGCAUUCGAUACUGCAGAGCUAGAGUAUUGGUAAAGGGAAGUGGAAUUUCCGGUGUAGCGGUGGAAUGCGUAAAUUU
rnacentral:rRNA from 1 species